rnacentral:rRNA from 1 species
AGAGUUUGAUCAUGGCUCAGAUUGAACGCUGGCGGCAUGCCUAACACAUGCAAGUCGAACGGCAGCAUGAUCUACAUUUCGGUGUAAAUUGAUGGCGAGUGGCGGACGGGUGAGUAAUACGUAGGAAUCUACCUUUCAGAGGGGGACAACUCGGGGAAACUCGAGCUAAUACCCCAUAAUACUUGAGGGUCAAAGUGGGGGCUCGUAAGACCUCACGCUGAGAGAAGAGCCUACGUCGGAUUAGCUAGUUGGUAGGGUAAAGGCCUACCAAGGCGAUGAUCCGUAGCUGGUCUGAGAGGAUGACCAGCCACACUGGGACUGAGACACGGCCCAGACUCCUACGGGAGGCAGCAGUGGGGAAUAUUGGACAAUGGGGGCAACCCUGAUCCAGCAAUGCCGCGUGUGUGAAGAAGGCCUGCGGGUUGUAAAGCACUUUAGUUGGGGAGGAAAGGCGCUGAAUUAAUAAAUCAGAGCUGUGACGUUACCCAAAGAAUAAGCACCGGCUACUCUGUGCCAGCAGCCGCGGUA